ensembl:lncRNA
UGGGGGUAAUGGUAGGGGUUGUCGUUGGGGUAAUGAUAGGGGUUGUCGUUGGGGUAAUGGUAAGGGUUGUCGUUGGGGUAAUGGUAGGGGUUGUUGUUGGGGUAAUGGUAAGGGUUGUCGUUGGGGUAAUGGUAGGGGUUGUCGUUGGGGUAAUGGUAAGGGUUGUUGUUGGGGUAAUGGUAGGGGUUGUCGUUGGGGUAAUGGUAGGGGUUGUCGUUGGGGUAAUGGUAAGGGUUGUUGUUGGGGUAAUGGUAGGGGUUGUCGAUGGGGUAAUGGUAAGGGUUGUCGUUGGGGUAAUGGUAGGGGUUGUGGUUGGGGUAAUGGUAAGGGU